GCGGGUGUAACUCAGUUGGUAGAGUGCAACCUUGCCAAGGUUGAUGUCGCGAGUUCGAGUCUCGUCACCCGCU
rnacentral:tRNA from 2 species